CAGUCGAGCUCAGCUCUCUACAACCCAAUUCAGGGCGUUGCUCGCGUUGGGAACAGUAAUCAACGAUGUAAGUCAACCCGUGAGAUUACUCUGACGGCCACUGUUUGGCCUCCUUCCACCCCUACUGCAGUUCAGGAGUACCGGGAAUAUCCACCCCGAUGUGUGCAGUAUGUUACCGACCAUGUCUCCCAACGGUUGGGCGCUCCCCCUCGGUUAGGGUAUUUCGGUCAGCAUCAGGCCUAGCGUCAGACGUUGAGCUGACGCACUUCAGCCUUAGCGAUCAUUAGCGCCUAGUCUUACAGCGCCACUUAUGCAAGGGCCCAGAACAUGUGUGGCGGGCAGUGUGGUACCCUCGCCCAAGACGGUCUUCAUCAAUCGGAUUGGCGUUCCUCCCGCUAAUGGUGCCGUCCCAAGCACUGACCCCACUUCAGCAUUGUUCCAUCGGCAUUUCCCGCUUAAGACGUCUAUAGGUAGUGUGACCGCCGGCGAGCUCGUACGUA
rnacentral:rRNA from 1 species